GUUUUACAGCAUGGACAUUGAACAGAAGAUUGCCUCCUGAGAUGAAGGUACUCUUUCAACUGCUCCAGUUGCAAAAGACAUGAAGUACAGCAAUCAAGAUACUCACCAAAACGGGACUGAACUUCAAAGGACAACCAGCAACCGCUGAAGACAUCCAGUCCACAAAAUAUCACUGCCACAAAAGGUCUGCAGCACCCAAGUAAACAACCUUGAGGACAUCAUGAGAAAAAAGAAAGAAGCUAUGAAAACAUCACAUGUGAAGCCUAUUUUUGGAAUCAGUAUCAUCUCAGACAAGGAAAUUAUCUAUUAAAUAUAAUUACUGACUAAUGAAGGUAGUCAUAAACACCUGAAACCACAGACAACUCUAUGAUGCAGCAAAUCAAUACACUCAGAAAAAUGGAGACAAGAAAAUAUCAAUGACUGGUUCACAGAGAGCCCAAACCUCACCUGGUUUGAGCAGAUGUGGGUGUGUGAAGG